rnacentral:rRNA from 1 species
UACCGUGAAACUGCGAAUGGCUCAUUAAAUCAGUUAUCGUUUAUUUGAUAGUACCUUACUACUUGGAUAACCGUGGUAAUUCUAGAGCUAAUACAUGCUGAAAACCCCGACUUCGGGAGGGGUGUAUUUAUUAGAUAAAAAACCAAUGCCCUUCGGGGCUCCUUGGUGAUUCAUAAUAACUUAACAGAUCGCAUGGCCUUGCGCCGGCGACGGUUCAUUCAAAUUUCUGCCCUAUCAACUUUCGAUGGUAAGGUAUUGGCUUACCAUGGUUUCAACGGGUAACGGGGAAUUAGGGUUCGAUUCCGGAGAGGGAGCCUGAGAAACGGCUACCACAUCCAAGGAAGGCAGCAGGCGCGCAAAUUACCCAAUCCCGACACGGGGAGGUAGUGACAAUAAAUACUGAUACAGGGCUCUUUUGGGUCUUGUAAUCGGAAUGAGUACAAUUUAAACCUCUUAACGAGGAACAAUUGGAGGGCAAGUCUGGUGCCAGCAGCCGCGGUAAUUCCAGCUCCAAUAGCGUAUAUUAAAGUUGUUGCAGUUAAAAAGCUCGUAGUUGAAUCUUGGGCCUGGCUGGCCGGUCCGCCUCACCGCGUGCACUGGUCCGGCCGGGCCUUUCCUUCUGGAGAGCCCCAUGCCCUUCACUGGGUGUGCGGGGGAACCAGGACUUUUACUUUGAAAAAAUUAGAGUGUUCAAAGCAGGCCUUUGCUCGAAUACGUUAGCAUGGAAUAAUAGAAUAGGACGUGCGAUCCUAUUUUGUUGGUUUCUAGGACCGCCGUAAUGAUUAAUAGGGACAGUCGGGGGCAUCAGUAUUCAAUUGUCAGAGGUGAAAUUCUUGGAUUUAUUGAAGACUAACUACUGCGAAAGCAUUUGCCAAGGAUGUUUUCAUUAAUCAGUGAACGAAAGUUAGGGGAUCGAAGACGAUCAGAUACCGUCGUAGUCUUAACCGUAAACUAUGCCGACUAGGGAUCGGGCGGUGUUCCUUUGUUGACCCGCUCGG